rnacentral:rRNA from 1 species
AUUGAACGCUGGCGGCAUGCCUUACACAUGCAAGUCGAACGGCAGCACGGGGGCAACCCUGGUGGCGAGUGGCGAACGGGUGAGUAAUGCAUCGGAACGUGCCCAGUAGUGGGGGAUAACUAGUCGAAAGAUUAGCUAAUACCGCAUACGACCUAUGGGUGAAAGCGGGGGAUUCGCAAGAACCUCGCGCUAUCGGAGCGGCCGAUGUCUGAUUAGCUAGUUGGCGGGGUAAAAGCCCACCAAGGCUUCGAUCAGUAGCUGGUCUGAGAGGACGACCAGCCACACUGGGACUGAGACACGGGCCCAGACUCCUACGGGAGGCAGCAGUGGGGAAUUUUGGACAAUGGGCGCAAGCCUGAUCCAGCCAUGCCGCGUGCGGGAAGAAGGCC